rnacentral:rRNA from 1 species
GACGAACGCUGGCGGCGUGCUUAACACAUGCAAGUCGAACGGUGAAGCUCCAGCUUGCUGGAGUGGAUCAGUGGCGAACGGGUGAGUAACACGUGAGCAACCUGCCCCAGACUCUGGAAUAAGCGCUGGAAACGGCGUCUAAUACUGGAUACGAGAUCAAGCCGCAUGGUUAUGGUCUGGAAAGUUUUUCGGUUUGGGAUGGGCUCGCGGCCUAUCAGCUUGUUGGUGAGGUAAUGGCUCACCAAUGCGACGACGGGUAGCCGGCCUGAGAGGGAGAGCGGCCACACUGGGACUGAGACACGGCCCAGACUCCUACGGGAGGCAGCAGCGGGGAAUAUUGCACAAUGGGCGAAAGCCUGAUGCAGCGACGCCGCGUGAGGGAUGACGGCCUUCGGGUUGUAAACCUCUUUCAGCAGGGAAGAAGCGAAAGUGACGGUACCUGCAGAAGAAGCACCGGCUAACUACGUGCCAGCAGCCGCGGUAAAAC